AUUGGUUCACUUCAAUGUGAUGAAAAGGGAACCAGGUGAAAGUCCUGGACAGUCCCCGCUGCUGUGAACCGUCCUUUCAGAGGGUGAACUCAUGCCACUGAUAGCGUUUUUGUUAUUGGGAAGGCGUUUGCCUAUCGGACGGGGAAGUCAGAAGACCUGCCAGUUAUGA
rnacentral:ncRNA from 1 species